rnacentral:rRNA from 1 species
UGAAUACGAGAUGCUACGGCGUCGAAGCAGUGUAUGUCAGACUUCCAAGAAAAGCUCGCAAUGUCAUAAAUAAAGAAUGCCUGUACCAUAACCGACACAGGUGGGUAGGUAGAGUAUACUAAGGGGCGCGAGAUAACUCUCUCUAAGGAACUCGGCAAAAUAACUCCGUAACUUCGGGAGAAGGAGUGCCUUCUUUAAGAAGGUUGCAAUAACAAGAUCCAAGCAACUGUUUAUCAAAAACACAGGUCUCCGCUAAGUCGUAAGACGAUGUAUGGGGGCUGACGCCUGCCCAGUGCCAGAAGGUUAAAGAAGUUGGUUAGCUUUUGCGAAGCUGAUGACUGAAGCCCUGGUGAACGGCGGCCGUAACGAUAACGGUCCUAAGGUAGCGAAAUUCCUAGUCGGGUAAGUUCCGACCCGCACGAAAGGCGUAAUGAUUUGGAUACUGUCUCGGAGAGGGACUCGGUGAAAUAGACUUGUCUGUGAAGAUGCGGACUACCUGCACCAGGACAGAAAGACCCUAUGAAGCUUUACUGUAACUUGAAAUUGAAAUUGGACUUUAUUUGCGCAGUAUAGGUGGAAGGCGUUGAGAGUAAUCUUGCGGGAUUAGUGGAGCCAUCAGUGAGAUACCACUCCUAUAAUGUUAGAUUUCUAACUUUGGAUCAUGAUCUGGUCAAAGAACAGUUUCAGGCGGGCAGUUUGACUGGGGCGGUCGCCUCCCAAAUGGUAACGGAGGCGUACAAAGGUUUCCUCUGAACGGGUAGAAAUCGUAUCUAGAGUGUAAAGGCAUAAGGAAGCUUGACUGUGAGACCUACAAGUCGAGCAGGGACGAAAGUCGGUCUUAGUGAUCUGACGGUGCUGAGUGGAAAGGCCGUCACUCAACGGAUAAAAGUUACUCUAGGAUAACAGGCUGAUCUCCCCCAAGAGUUCACAUCGACGGGGAGGUUUGGCACCUCGAUGUCGGCUCAUCGCAUCCUGGGGCGGUAGUACGUCCCAAGGGUUGGGCUGUUCGCCCAUGAAAGCGGUACGCGAGCUGGGUUCAGAACGUCGUGAGACAGUUCGGUCCAUAUCCGGUGUAGGCGUUAGAAUAUUGAGAGGAGCCUUCUUUAGUACGAGAGGACCGAGAAGGACAUACCUCUGGUGUACCAGUUAUCGUGCCAACGGUAAACGCUGGGUAGCUAUGUAUGGAGAGGAUAACCGCUGAAAGCAUCUAAGUGGGAAGCCCACCUCAAGAUGAGUAG